AGUGAUUUAAGCGAUGAUGGGCACGAUUGCGAAGUGAUAGUCGUUUUGGAAUUCAUUAAAUCGCAGCAUGUAUCGUAGAGAUACCGUCGUGGGCCCUUGGUGGGCCCCAGGGUGACGCGCCACUUUCCCGAACCAUCAUUUUCUCGAACCGUUCAAAUUCCCGAAUCGCCAUUUUCCCGAACUAUCAUGUAGAAGUAAUUUUAGCGAAGUGUCAUCGUUGAGUGUAGAUAAGAACGUUGAGUGUGUGUCAUUCUCCCGAAUCGCUAUAUUCCCGACAUAUCAAUUUUCCGAAACUCUAUACUUAGACCCUGCCGCACCAUAUGACUGUGUUUUACGAUCGGAACCUAUCGUUGGAUCGGACUACCCGGGGCCGUUGACAUUGGCAGUCAGCGUCAGCGCAUCCUUGCCUAUGCAAGCUACCAAAUUGCAAAGUCAAUGGGCUGCACAAGAAGAUCAUUCGGAAUUGGUAAUUCAACCCUACCACUAGGUAACCGAGGUUUCCCAGAGGACAACGCAACCACCCGUGCCUCGACACGGCUGACGGAAGCUAAGGCAACCUCCACACGUCAGCACCUGACAUGGGCCCGACAGUUUUUCAUUGCAGACUUAGCUCACAAUCAAUACUUGAAGGUGUAAAAACAGACGUAGUAAGGUGACAACUUUUCUCCGUCUUACGAAAUGUGAUCGGUCGGUCUAGCUCAGGUCACGUGAUUAUUCAGUGGCGUGAUACAAAUGUCGAGUCCAGGCACAGAGCUUUUGAACAUAGAUUUCAGAGCAAGAGCCCGUGAACCCCAGACCUUCGUUAUUUUAUAAAAGCUGACAGUGUGUCAGUAAAUGCUCCCAAUACAGGUAAGAACGAUGGACCAUUAUGAAGUUUGGGUUGCCCUGGCUUUGGCAGGUAAACGGUACUAAAGGUGUGUAAAAUACCGAUUUAACUUCAUCAAAUAAUGAAGUGCGAUUUUUUGGUAUUAUCUUCAGAAUAUGAUAAAAAAUCACAUUAUUCAUUGCCAGUCACUUAACAUCUUGGCAACCCCUUACCAAACACCCUUAAUGUUCAUGAAAUUAUAAUUUUACUUACGUUAUAGUUUAAGAGCUGAUUUUUAUAUAUAAUACUUGAGUGAUAAGUAAAUUAUAUUUCGUCAUUAGCCAGACAUAGUUUUUCGUAAGAUUAAUGCCGCUUUUUGUAAAAUAUUUUCAGAUUUCAAGUUGUCAAAUACUGUUUCGUCAAUCGUCUUCAUAUACUUGGGUGCUAUUAUUUUUUUAUUCCGGAUUGUAAAGAAUUUAAUAUUUUUGGAAAACUUCUUAUCAAUUUUUUCUUUUAGGUGGUGUACAGUAAAAGUAGCAUCCAUUUCAAUGGAAUGGAAUGAGGCUGGCGUCCCAUGGUACGGAAAAUAUUCCGUCUCCACGAAGCCGGAACUAGUUACUUUUCAAGAGCCAAUCAGAGGCGUUCCGGAUCCACUGAUAAACGGGAUCUAUUUUUCUACUAUACCCAUGAUACGGAAUUGACACACACGGAACGAUCGCCAGCGAAUUGCGAUCGUUCUUUUUAGCGCUGAAUUCGAAAUGCGUUACUGUGACUGGCUGUCAGCGCUUCCGGGCUUGUGCAUUCCGUGACAUGGGACACCCGAUGGCUGCAAAGACGGAUUCGUGUCACCCACACAAGCAUAUGUAUUAUUUACAUUGAAUUCGUUGGUUUACAUCUUGUUUACAUGCUUACUUGUCGCGCUUAACCUCUCUUCAAGAAUUUAAAUAUUGUCAACAAGAAAUGGAUGCUGAAACCGUUUUGUUAUCUAUCGCAGCUGUGUGGAUCAAAUGGCAGACAGCACAGCCGAGACAGAGAGAUAUUUUGCGCCGCAAGUUGUUACAAUUUAUGAGCAUUUACGAUGUUUUGAAAUCAGAAAACGAUCGCGAUAGACGUAGAUUUUGGGUUCGGCCGAUAUUUAGUGCAGAGAUGCGAUUUCUGCAGGGUGCAAGUGACAACUUGAUAAGAGGUUAGAACUCUUUCGACGCAAGCAGCAAAGUUCUCUGUAAAAGUCGCAAUUUCUUCGAUGAGUCUGAUUUCUUACAAAAGUUGUCAUAGUAAUAUUGUAAAAUAAUAGUUCUCGAUCAGAUUUGUGACUCCCAGCUUUUCAAUUUCAGUAAGGAUUGAUGAUACUUAUUCAGUUGGUCAAUUAAAUUUUAGGCUUAAUCAAAUUUAUUUCAUCCUAUGUCACCCUAAUUAUCUAAGUUUGAUUUCGUGUCGCAUUAUUCAGCUGUCACAACAUAACCUAGUCAUGUUUAAAUACCGAGACCUCAGCUAUAUCCGAAAUGGUCAAUCUAACAGCUCGAGCUGGGUUCUGAGGGAUUGAUAGCUGACAAAAUCAACUGUUUUUCCAAUUCGCGCUUACGUACAAAAUCUGGGUGCGCAAUUUCACGUGAUCCUCACGUAUACUGCCUCGCGCUCGCUCCUACAGCUACCUUACAUGCUUGUCUGGCAAGAGGUUGGAAGUAUCAAAAAUGUCUGGCUAAUUAGGAAACAUAAUCUACUUAUUACUCAAGUAUUAUAUAUAAAAAUCAGCUUUUAUACUAUAACGUAAGUGAAAUUAUAAUUUCAUGAACAUUAAGGGUGUCUGGCAAGGGGUUGCCAAGAUGUUAAGUGACUGGCAAUGAAUAAUGUGAUUUUUUAUCAUAUUCUGAAGAUAAUACCAAAAAAUCGCACUUCAUUAUUCGAUGAAGUUAAAUCGGUAUUUUACACACCUUUAGUACCGUUUACCUGCCAAAGCCAGGGCAACCCAAACUUCAUAAUGGUCCAUCGUUCUUACCUGUAUUGGGAGCAUUUACUGACACACUGUCAGCUUUUAUAAAAUAACGAAGGUCUGGGUUUCACGGGCUCUUAGACUGGUAGGUGAUAUAUUUAUUAUUCAAUCGUGAGUAGUAUCAUAGAUAUAUCGUGACAGCAAAGGAUAUAUUAAAUUAUGAAAUAUGUGUGAAAUAAAUCUGAACUAUGCCAUUCAUGAUUAAUACAAA